rnacentral:rRNA from 1 species
GACGUAGGGCGCGAGCGUUGUCCGGAUUUAUUGGGCGUAAAGAGCUCGUAGGCGGCUUGUCGCGUCGAAUGUGAAAACUUGGGGCUCAACUCCAAGCUUGCAUUCGAUACGGGCAGGCUAGAGUUCGGUAGGGGAGACUGGAAUUCCUGGUGUAGCGGUGAAAUGCGCAGAUAUCAGGAGGAACGCCGGUGGCGAAGGCGGGUCUCUGGGCCGAUACUGACGCUGAGGAGCGAAAGCUAGGGGAGCAAACAGG